rnacentral:rRNA from 1 species
AUUGAACGCUGGCGGCAGGCCUAACACAUGCAAGUCGAACGAGUGGCGGACGGGUGAGUAAUGUCUGGGAAACUGCCUGAUGGAGGGGGAUAACUACUGGAAACGGUAGCUAAUACCGCAUACCAUCAGAUGUGCCCAGAUGUGAUUAGCUGGUUGGUGGGGUAACGGCUCACCAAGGCGACGAUCCCUCGCUGGUCCGAUAGGAUGACCAGCCACACUGGAACUGAGAAACGGUCCAGACUCCUACGGGAGGCAGAAGUGGGGAAUAUGGGACAAGGGGCGAAAGCCUGAUGCAGCAAGGCCGCGGGGAUGAAGAAGGCCUUCGGGUUGUAAAGUACUUUCAGCGGGGAGGCGUUACCCGAAGAGGAAGCACCGGCUAACUCCGUGCCAGCAGCCGCGGUAAUUC